UUCCAGCUGUGUCCUGUGCUGCAAGCAGUUACCUGCUGUAGCAUAAGGCUUCCCCUGAGAUGAAAAUGUCCUAUGCUUUGCAGGGCUGGAAGCAGCAGCUUUGCCAUUUGGAAAGGAUGAUUCCUAGCUUUCUCUUGGGAAGUAUCAGAUGUUGGAACAUGCUGCCUGUAAAAGAUGUGACUUUAAUACGUUAAAGAAGUCUAUUUAUGGUUAUUUUAAAGAGGCGCUUGCAUUCCUGUGCUCUGUAAAGUUGGAACUAAAGCACCUGAUAUAGAUGAUCUGUUCCACUGCAAUCUAAAAAUGUUCCAUUACUAAAAUAAUCUGGUUUCUUAAAUACA